rnacentral:rRNA from 1 species
GAAGCACUGUGGGGGGCCGCCAAACGGGCGGGCAGGAAAUGGCCCGUCCCCGAGGAGCCCCCUAGAAAGCGACUGCUAACCACGUGCCAGCAGCAGCGGUAAUACGUGGGUCGCAAGCGUUAUCCGGAAUCAUUGGGCGUAAAGAGUGAGCAGGCGGUCCGGGAAGUCCGCGGUGAAAUGCGGGGGCUCAACCCCCGCAGGCCGCGGAUACUUCCGGUCUGGGGUGCGGGAGAGGCGGACGGAACUCCGCGUGUAGCGGUGAAAUGCACUGAUACGCGGAAGAACACCGGUGGCGAAGGCGGUCCGCCAGACCGAUACCGACGCUCAGUCACGAAAGCGUGGGGAGCAAAUAGGAUUAGAUACCCUAGUAGUCCACGCCGUAAACGAUGGGGGCCAGGGCGCGGGGUCGACCCGCGUCCGAAGCAAACGCAUUAAGCCCCCCGCCUGGGUACUACGUUCGCAAGAAUAAAACUUAAAGGAAUUGGCGGGUGCCCGCACAAGCAGUGGAGCAUGCGGUUCAAUUCGUGGCUACACGUAGAACCUUACCAGGGUUUGACAUGCCGGCAAAGGCCCCGGAGACGGGGAGAUAGCUAUGCCGGACAAAGGUGGUGCAUGGCUGUCGUCAGCUCGUGUCGUGAGAUGUUAGGUCAAGUCCUCCAACGAGCGCGACCCCCGCCGCCAGUUGCCAUCAUCAGGUUGGGCACUCUGGCGGGACCGCCGGCGACAAGCCGGAGGAAGGCGGGGAUGACGUCAAGUCAUCAUGCCCCUUAUGCCCUGGGCCACACGCGUGCUACAAUGGCCGGCACAGUGGGAAGCGACGCCGCGAGGCGGAGCGGAUCCCAAAAGCCGGUCCCAGUACGGACCGGGGGCUGCAACCCGCCCCCGCGAAGCUGGAAUUGCUAGUAAUCGCGGAUCAGCCAAGCCGCGGUGAAUGCGUUCUCGGGCAUUGCACACACUGCCCGUCACACCAUGAAAGCCUGCAACGCUCUAAGUCGCCAGCCCGACCCGCGAGGGGGGGCGGCGCCCAAGGCGGGGCCGGUGAUUGGGGUUAAGUCGAAACAAGGUAUCCCUACGAGAACGUGGGGAUG